rnacentral:rRNA from 1 species
UACGUAGGGGGCAAGCGUUGUCCGGAUUUAUUGGGCGUAAAGAGCGUGUAGGCGGCCAAGCAGGUCCGCUGUGAAAACUCGAGGCUCAACCUCGAGACGUCGGUGGAAACCGUUUGGCUAGAGUCCGGAAGAGGAGAGUGGAAUUCCCGGUGUAGCGGUGAAAUGCGCAGAUAUCGGGAAGAACACCAGUGGCGAAGGCGAGUCUCUGGACAUUUCCUGACGCUGAGGCACGAAAGCCAGGGGAGCAAACGGG